rnacentral:lncRNA from 10 species
ACCUGCAGGCCCGGGCCGCGGGGUUGGUUUCCACCCUGGAGGUUGCUGACACCCUGUGCCCUCGGCUGACUUCCAGCCGGUGGCACAGACGCCUCCAGGGGGCAGCACUCAAGCGCAUCUUAGGAAUGACAGAGUUGCGUCCCUCUCGGUUGCCAGGCUGGAGUUCAGUGGCAUGUUCAUAGCUCACUGAAGCCUCAAAUUCCUGGGUUCAAGUGACCCUCCUACCUCAGCCCCAUGAGGACCUGGGACUACAGUUCCCUCCCUUUGGAACGCAGCGUGGGCACCUGCAACGCAGAGACCACUGUAUCUCCGGUGCAGAAUGUAAUGAGUGCCUGAUACAUUUGCCGAAUAAACUAUUCCAAGGGUUGAACUUGCUGGAAGCAAGAGAAGCACUAUUCUGGUAACAGCGGGAACAUGAAGCCGCCACUCUUGGUGUUUAUUGUGUGUCUGCUGUGGUUGAAAGACAGUCACUGCGCACCCACUUGGAAGGACAAAACUGCU